rnacentral:rRNA from 1 species
GUGGGGAAUAUUGGACAAUGGGCGCAAGCCUGAUCCAGCAAUGCCGCGUGUGUGAAGAAGGUCUUCGGAUCGUAAAGCACUUUCGACGGGGACGAUGAUGACGGUACCCGUAGAAGAAGCCCCGGCUAACUUCGUGCCAGCAGCCGCGGUAAUACGAAGGGGGCUAGCGUUGCUCGGAAUUACUGGGCGUAAAGGGCGCGUAGGCGGCUCUGUGAGUCAGGCGUGAAAUUCCUGGGCUUAACCUGGGGACUGCGCUUGAUACUGCAGGGCUUGAGGCCGAGAGAGGGUGGUGGAAUUCCCAGUGUAGAGGUGAAAUUCGUAGAUAUUGGGAAGAACACCGGUGGCGAAGGCGACCACCUGGCUCGGUACUGACGCUGAGGCGCGACAGCGUGGGGAGCAAACAGGAUUAGAUACCCCUGUAGUCC